rnacentral:tRNA from 1 species
CGGAUGUANCCAAGUGGAUCAAGGCAGU